AUAAAACUUCCAUAUUAGGAGCUAAAUGGUUUGGAAGACAAAGAAGUGCUGAGAAAUGAUGCCAUUUUGAAACAAAAUGCAAGAUCUUCGGGCAACUUCAACCUGGGAAUGAUUAUCAGAGUCAAUGGAUAACUACCCUAUUGAUGUAGGAACAACCAAAUUUCCUUGUCAGUUGCCUUAUUCUUAUGAUAAACCCUCAUCAGAACCUUCACUUUUGAAAACUUCUGAGAAGAGACAUGGAAGAAGCAAGGAAAGCCCUUGACUCCUGCACUAGCAAUCUCAUUCAUUAGUGGUCUUCAUGUCUUGUGACCUCUACUUAGGAAAAU